UACGUAGGGUGCAAGCGUUGUCCGGAAUUAUUGGGCGUAAAGAGCUCGUAGGCGGUCUGUCGCGUCUGCUGUGAAAACUCAGGGCUUAACCCUGAGCUUGCAGUGGGUACGGGCAGACUAGAGUGCGGUAGGGGAGACUGGAAUUCCUGGUGUAGCGGUGAAAUGCGCAGAUAUCAGGAGGAACACCGGUGGCGAAGGCGGGUCUCUGGGCCGUAACUGACGCUGAGGCACGAAAGCGUGGGUAGCAAACAGG
rnacentral:rRNA from 1 species